rnacentral:rRNA from 1 species
GACGAACGCUGGCGGCGUGCUUAACACAUGCAAGUCGAACGGAAAGGCCCUGCUUUUGUGGGGUGCUCGAGUGGCGAACGGGUGAGUAACACGUGAGUAACCUGCCCUUGACUUUGGGAUAACUUCAGGAAACUGGGGCUAAUACCGGAUAGGAGCUCCCGCUGCAUGGUGGGGGUUGGAAAGUUUCGGCGGUUUGGGAUGGACUCGCGGCUUAUCAGCUUGUUGGUGGGGUAGUGGCUGACCAAGGCUUUGACGGGUAGCCGGCCUGAGAGGGUGAACGGCGACAUGGGGACUGAGAUACGGCCCAGACUCCUACGGGCGGCAGCAGUGGAGAGUAUUGCACAGUGGGCCGAAGCCUGAUGCAGCAGCGCCCCGUUCGGGAUGACGUCCUUCGGGUGGUAAACCGCUGUCGCCUGUGACGAAGCGUGAGUGACGGUAAUGGGUAAAGAAGCACCGGCUAACUACGUG